UACGUAGGGGGCGAGCGUUAUCCGGAUUCACUGGGUGUAAAGGGAGCGUAGACGGGAAAGCAAGUCAGAUGUGAAAACCAUGGGCUCAACCUGUGGCCUGCAUUUGAAACUGUUUUUCUUGAGUACUGGAGAGGCAGACGGAAUUCCUAGUGUAGCGGUGAAAUGCGUAGAUAUUAGGAGGAACACCAGUGGCGAAGGCGGUCUGCUGGACAGCAACUGACGCUGAGGCGCGAAAGCGUGGGGAGCAAACAGG
rnacentral:rRNA from 1 species